CAAGCCCCCGGUGCUCUGUAACAGCUGGGAGUACUCCAUGUAAUCUCUCAUCGCAUCAGCCUGAGACAGAAAGAACUGUGGCGGCAGCGUCGCCUGCUGCGGUGGCGCUUGAGGUGCUUGAGAUAACAAUGACUGUAACUGAGACGUCGGUUGAAGACCGAUAGGGAUUUGGGAAAUAGGAACAUUUUCCAUUGGAGGUGGCAAUAUUCUGACAUGUUCAGGGAAGUUUAGUUUAGCUCUACUUCCUCUAAAUCUUAACGCGGCUUCAUCGUAGGCUCUGGCGGCGGCCUCUGCAGUAUCGGAUGUGCCAAGCCAGACUCUUGCUGCUUUAUGUGGAUCACGUAUUUCAGCUGCCCAUUUACCCCACGGCCUUUGUCUAACUCCUCUGUAUCUUCUUCUCCGCUC
rnacentral:misc_RNA from 1 species